GACGAACGCUGGCGGCAUGCCUAAUACAUGCAAGUCGAGCGGUUAAGGGUGGUUCUUGUCCCGACUGGAUGAGCAGCGCGCGGGUGAGUACCGCGUGGGGGAUCUGCCUUUGAGGGGGGGGCCACAAUUGGAGCCGAAUGCUAAUACCACAUAAAAACUUUAACCACAAGUUUUAAGUGUGAAAGAUGCACUUGCUUAACUCACAGCUGAUCCCGCGUUGUAUUAGCUAGUGGGUGAGGUAAAGGCUCACCAAGGCGAGGAUACAUAGCCGACCUGAGAGGGUGAUCGGCCACAUUGGGACUGAGACACGGCCCAAACUCCGACGGGAGGCCGCAGUAGGGAAUCUUCGGCAAUGGACGAAAGUCUGAUCGAGCAAUGCCGCGUGAGUGAAGAAGGUGUUCGGAUCGUAAAGCUCUUUUGGUAGGGAAGAACGUCGGUGAGAGUGGAAAGCGCAUCAAUGACGGUUACCGACGCAUAAGCGGCCGCCAACUUAGUG
rnacentral:rRNA from 1 species